rnacentral:lncRNA from 1 species
AUGGAAAGUCACAGUAGGACAGGCAGGGAAUUUAUGUCUAUAUGUUUGGAGAACGGGGAUGGAGAAGAGGUUGGGAGGAAGAGUCAUCCCAGGGGGCCCAUUAACACUUUUCCAGAGCUCUCUUCACCAUACCACAAACCACAAACUCAUCCCACCAGAAUCAGGACACAAGAAAGAGGAAUCACAGUAUCCAAUGACAUUGAUGAGGACAUCAGGCUGAAAGUACAGGAUGG